CUUGAGCGAGCCGACCCAGAGCGGACGGUCGACGGGGCGGUCCUUGCCGUAGGUGGCGAAGAGCGCCUGCGCCUC
rnacentral:antisense_RNA from 1 species